rnacentral:rRNA from 1 species
CGUAGGGUGCGAGCGUUGUCCGGAAUUAUUGGGCGUAAAGAGCUUGUAGGCGGUUUGUCGCGUCUGCUGUGAAAAUCCGGGGCUCAACCCCGGACUUGCAGUGGGUACGGGCAGGCUAGAGUGUGGUAGGGGAGACUGGAAUUCCUGGUGUAGCGGUGGAAUGCGCAGAUAUCAGGAGGAACACCGAUGGCGAAGGCAGGUCUCUGGGCCACUACUGACGCUGAGAAGCGAAAGCAUGGGGAGCGAACAGGAUUAGAUACCCUGGUAGUCCAUGCCGUAAACGUUGGGAACUAGGUGUGGGUCUCAUUCCACGAGAUCCGUGCCGCAGCUAACGCAUUAAGUUCCCCGCCUGGGGAGUACGGCCGCAAGGCUA